GACGUAGGGCGCAAGCGUUUGUCCGGAUUUAUUGGGCGUAAAGGGCGCGUAGGCGGUGCGGUAAGUCACCUGUGAAAUCUCCUGGCUCAACUGGGAGCUUGCAGGCGAAACUGCCGUGCUGGAGUGUGGGAGAGGUGCGUGGAAUUCCUGGUGUAGCGGUGAAAUGCGUAGAUAUCAGGAGGAACACCUGUGGCGAAAGCGGCGCACUGGACCACAACUGACGCUGAGGCGCGAAAGCUAGGGGAGCAAACAGG
rnacentral:rRNA from 1 species